rnacentral:rRNA from 1 species
GGGUUGUUAAAAUGCAAGUCGAAGGUCUCUUCGGAUUCUAGUUGCGGAGGGUGAGAACGCGUGACCUUUAGAAAAUAAGAGGGGGAAACGGUUGGAAACGACCGCUAAUACCCCUUAUGGCGAGAGGUGAAAUCUAAUUGGCCUGAGGAUGAGCUCGCGUCCGAUUAGCUAGUUGGUGGAGUAAGAGCCCACCAAGGCAACGAUCGGUAGCUGGUCUGAGAGGAUGAUCAGCCACACUGGGACUGAGACACGGCCCAGACUCCUACGGGAGGCAGCAGUGGGGAAUUUUCCGCAAUGGGCGAAAGCCUGACGGAGCAAGACCGCGUGAGGGAAGAAGGUCUGUGGAUUGUAAACCUCUUUUGAUUGGGAAGAAUACUGACGGUACCAAUCGAAUCAGCCUCGGCUAACUCCGUGCCAGCAGCCGCGGUAAUAAUCGGAUCCCGGGUCCUUCUUCUGCAGAGGCCUGU